CUUGCUACGACAGGUGUCAGCACAUUCCUUACUGGCUGGCUUUGCCUCCUCUUAGAGGGCCCAGAAACUCUGUAG
rnacentral:lncRNA from 1 species